AGCCGGAUGACGGAUCUCAAAUAGGACGAAACGCGCGUCAUGGAU
rnacentral:hammerhead_ribozyme from 1 species